UGAAAAAAUAGCUUAUAUUACAUCUGUGGUCGACUAGUUCACUAGGCGAGAGCCAGCAAAAUAAGCUGUUUGCCCUACCUGAUCAAUAAUUUCACGUGUUUGUCUUUGCAGAGCAGAUUCCUCCACCUAAAGCAAGACACACGGAAACGAGACGGAUUUGCUGACUACAACUACCAAGAGGAACGCAUAGCGCGCAAAGGACUAUGGGUUUCGUAGUAAACUUUCCUGUGAAUGGCUGCCUCCGGUCAGCAUGCUGGGAGUUCACUCGUUGUUUACGAUCAUUUCACCGCAGACGAGAACACUGUGCAGUCUGAGUCAGAAACGGUG
ensembl:lncRNA